CCCCUGCCCUCAGCCUCCUUCAAAGUGGCCGCUGGGGCUGGGGUCUGUCUUUGCAGAGGUGCCAGGCCACAUGCCCUGCCCACCUCUACCAGCUAUGCCGCCUCUGAAGUUCCUCCAGCGGCACUGAGGAGGGGCCCUGUGGUCGAGGGUGCAGUUAAACGAGGCCCGACCGGGUAGUUGAGCUCAGCUUGGCUGUACUUGUCUUCCUUGGACCUGCUGGGCACCCCCAGGCCUCUCUUUCCAGAGCCACAGGGGCCACCUGACAUCUCACAGGCUCAUCUACCUUCCAAGACCAGCUCAUCACUUCUGGCACCCCUCUCUAUAGUUGCCUCCCAAAGUCUCCCAUCUUAUACCCACGGCCCCCUGGGCAUCAAGCUGGACAUCUGGGAACAACCUUCAGCACCAAGUCCCCCCACCACUCAUCUGGACUUGCAAAAGUCUCCUUACUGGUCUCGCUGUCAUCCAGGAGCCAUGGUGAAUUACUUAAAAAUUCUUUUCUUCAGCGAGGCGCAGUGGCUCAUUCCUAUAAUCCCAGCACUUUGGGAGGCUGAGUGAACUUGUCUACACCUCAUGAAAACCUCUCCACGGUGACGAUGUGAAGCACCUGGAGCUCACACAAUGCUGGAAUGCAAUACAGCAAUGAGAGUGGCCAGCCACUGCUACUACAUGCAGCCCCAUGGAGGACUCUCACAGAUACAACUCUGAACGAAAGAGGCCAGGCGUGAACAGCACAGGUGGAACUGAGGAGUCCCAACCCAGGGCAGGAAGGGCACAAGAACAUCGUCCUGUUUGUGGACUCACCUGGUAGUUACCCGGAUGUGUUCACUUUUGAUAAUUUAUUAAGGAAUAUUUUUAUGAUUGGUGCACUUUCCUGUAUGCAUGUUAUAUUUCAAAAACAAGUUUUCAUGAAAAAAAAAAAAAGCAAACAAAUACAAAUGCUGUCUGCUGUCCCCUCCUGUCCUCCCAUGCCCUUGCCCUGUGCAGGCCAGCACCGCCUCCCCCUGGAUGGCUGCCCUGGCCUUCCUCUCAUGUGCUCACCUCCCCAUACCUCCCACUCCCACUCCAAAUUAUAGUCGCCAGGCUUAGCAAUAAAAGUACACAAAUGCCAA
rnacentral:lncRNA from 1 species